UACCAGCACCCCGAGUGGUCGGGACGAUUAUUGGGCCUAAAGCAUCCGUAGCCGGUUCUACAAGUCUUCCGUUAAAUCCACCUGCUUAACAGAUGGGCUGCGGAAGAUACUAUAGAGCUAGGAGGCGGGAGAGGCAAGCGGUACUCGAUGGGUAGGGGUAAAAUCCGUUGAUCCAUUGAAGACCACCAGUGGCGAAGGCGGCUUGCCAGAACGCGCUCGACGGUGAGGGAUGAAAGCUGGGGGGAGCAAACCGGGAUUAGAAACCCGGGGU
rnacentral:rRNA from 1 species